GAUGAAGAACGCAGCGAAAUGCGAUACUUGGUGUGAAUUGCAGAAUCCCGUGAACCAUCGAGUCUUUGAACGCAAGUUGCGCCCGAAGCCACUAGGCCGAGGGCACGCCUGCCUGGGCGUCACACGCCGUUGCCCCCCCAUCUACUCCUUCGGGAUUGCGGGGGGGCGGAUGAUGGCCUCCCGUGCGCCUAGCCGCGCGGUUGGCAUAAAUACCAAGUCCUCGGCGACGCACGCCACGACAAUCGGUGGUUGCGAAACCUCGGUUGCCCGUCGUGUGCGUUCGUCGCGCAUCGAGGGCUCGAAAAAAUGCUCGGCUCCGGCUGGGCUUUCAACGCGACCCCAGGUCAGGCGGGGUUACCCGCUGAAUUUAAGCAUUCCAAUAAGCGGAGGA
rnacentral:misc_RNA from 1 species